rnacentral:lncRNA from 1 species
CUUGAUUGUAUUAUUGUGAAAGGUCCUAAAACAACAGCAUUACGUAUAGCUCACAGAAAAGAUAUACAGAUUGUUAAAAGGAAAGCAUGAAAUGCAAAUGUUUAGCAGUGUUCCCGUUAUUCUUUAUUCUGGUUAAAUUAAAGCUGAAGGAUUUCCUUAAAAACCCAACUCCCUGACAGCCUUCAGGUGUACAGGCUUGAUUAGUGCCUCUAACUCUUCCUUCCUGUAGCUAUUCUGCUGCCAGGAAGUUUAGACCCCUACAUUGAGCUGCUGUGGGGACCAGCACAGGUUCUGGGACAUCUUCUCUACAAACAUUGAAAGUUGGUGGACCCCCAGUCUACAGAAUCAUCUUUUGAUAUUUUUCCCUAAAUGGCUGACCUCACAGCUGGUAUCAGAUAAGAAAGAAGUACAACAGUUUCUGCGAGCAAGAGUGCAUCAUAAAGGCCAGCUGGAGCUCCAUGCAGAGGGGCUGCUUUGCCCGGGCAGGUUGGCCCAUGGUCUCUUUAGGAAGUACUCGAGGAUUUCAGCAUCGUCUCCCAUGACUGAGCCUGUGCAGGAGCAGGCUUUUUCUGUCCAUGCUCUGCCUUCUGUUGCAUGGAGGAAAACUGUUGGUUCCUUUAUCUUGCAUAUUAAAGGUGGAUUUUGUACCUCUUUCUCUCAGUGAAACAUCCCUGUGGCUAAUUGCAGUGACACUGAUAUUCGAAGGUUUCUAGAGCAGUUCAAUUUAAACAUUGUGACUUUGUGAGCCUGGCAUCGAGUGCUGGAAGGAGCACAUUUAUUGAAGACUUAAAACUAGUGGAGAUGUUGCUAUAUACGCUGUGAGAGAGCUGUUAUGCUUCUUCUCUUUGACUGUAUUAUUUCACUCAUUAGAAUAAACUAUCAGCAAAUCUCCUGUUGUAUGUUCUU